GAAGGAAGAGGAGUUGGACGGAACUAACAUCCGUGCAUUUUCAGAUUGGAACCUCUCGGUUCAUAUCCUGGACUCGUCCAAAGCUGUUUCAGGUGAUCACUGACACUGGAUGUCGAAAGUCUGACGAAGACUAAAAUUGGACCACUCUUUUCUCUCAGUUCAGCCACUAAAGAAGCAAUAUGGAUUCUUCAAAAAAGAAACAUAAGAGGAAAACGAAAGUGGGACUUCAGCGCCCUCAGGAGGACAAGGAGGCUUUGCCAACAACAAUGGACACAAAGUGACCUUAUAGCUGUGACCUGUGUGGGAAGAGUUUUUGUUACAAAAAUAACCUUUCUUCACACAUGCGUGUGCACACUGGUGAAAAACCAUACAGGUGUGAGGAAUGUGGGGUAGCCUUUGCUCAAAAAUAUGUUUUAAAAGCUCACCUGCGCGUUCACACUGGAGAAAAACCGUACAGCUGCGAUGAAUGUGGGGCAACUUUCAGUCAGAGAAGUGCCCUAAAAAGGCAUCAACUCUUUCACCGUGGAGUUAAAUCUUACAUUUGUGAUCAGUGUGGGAGGGCUUUUAUCUUGUCAAGUGAAUUACUGGUUCAUAAAACCAUUCAUUCUGGACUUAAACCGUACAAGUGUGAGCAGUGUGGGAAAGCUUAUACUGCAAAGAGGAACUUCAUGUAUCAUCAACACACCCAUUCCGGGCUCGAUAAGCUGCUCCGCUGUGAUUUUUGCGACAAAACCUUCAGCUAUCCAGAGACCCUCAGUAGACACAGACGAAGGCACACAGGAGAGAAUUUGUAUUGUUGUGAUGAGUGUGGUAGAAGAUUUCCAGUACACUCAUCCCUUCAAAACCACAAACUUUCCCACACAAAGGAAAGAACACAUUGCUGUGAUCUAUGUGGAAAAGCCUUCAAGAGUAAGGGUGCUCUACAAGCCCACAAGAAAAGACACACUGCAGUUAAACCACAUGAUCAGUGUUUGUAAAGUGGAUUUACAAGUGGACCGUUCAGCCCUCAAUUAGCGAGUCUGCAAUGCUCCACACAUGAAUUUUGCAGCUGGUGCAAUGGCAAAAUGGAGAAAAAAAGCCUUCAAAUAUGAGUUCUGCAUGUUUCCUGAAAAUCAUGUUUACGCAGAUAAAACAAAACUAUCAAAUCUGAAUGCUGACGUUUGAUUUGAUGUAGUCAGUUAGCAGCUUCAUUCAUUUGUUUGAUUGGAAAUGUCAAAUGGAAAUGAGGUUGAAAGACUUGUGGAAUAAUUUAAAAGUAUUUGAAGUAUAAUGUGGCUCCUGUCAUUGUAAUAGUUGCUGAAUUUAUGAUGUGUUGGGGUCAGUGGAAAAAAAAACAGCCAGCUGGUGCUGCACCAAAAUUUAAACAGUGGCUGUUAAAGAAAAAGAAAU